UAGUACUGCUUAGUCACUAAAUGAUUAUUUAAAACAUAAAAAGAACAUUGUGAUAGAAUUAUUUUAUAUUCCUGAAAGAAAAUUAAAUUAACAUGUUUUCAAAAAAGAAGUAACUUUAUGUUUUAUGGUCAUCUCAAACAAUACAUCAGAAGACAAAAAUGCUGACAAAGACUAGCAGUCCGUUUUUCAAUUUUGAUUGUAAAAUUAGUAAUACAACUAAUUCUCUUACAUUAUGCGUAGUGUGUCAGAAAUAAGUAGUGUUAAAUGUUUCAUAUGAAAUAAAAUUGAUAUCCUGUUACCUUAAAAUGUCAGUUGCUUUAAAGCGUCUUAUAUGUUAAUAACAGUGACGAGCAGGAAUAUAUGGCCUUACAGCUCGAACAAGGGAAUAAAAAUGAGGCGGCAAACUAUGACGUGUUAAAGCCUGAAGAAGAGAGAAUAGCAGAAAAAAGCAAUUAUGAAAACUUUGCAAACAGUGGAGUUUGAAUGGUUUUCGUUUAUACACUCGAACAUGAAUCGAACAACGUAUUAAGACAUAGUUAUUUGUUGCCUCAUUGUAACUUCAGGGUGAUAUCAAUCUUUGUUUUAUCGAGUUAUAAUGUUAUUUUGAUAUUCUUGCAUAAAACUACUUUUUUACUGGAUCUGGAAGUGUAUUAACGGGAUAAAAAUCGUGUAUAUACAAGACAAUUCAUGUGCCUUUAAUACUUAAUUUUAUGCUCCCCGCGCGGCAAGCAUGUAGGUGCCACUUUAAACCCCGCAGUGGUGGUUUUGCCACUGAUCGUUCCAAGGCGGUACCCCACUGUGUUCCUAUUUUUGUUUGUUUUGUCCUUGCAUAUUUAUUUUGUGUAUGUAUAGUGUGCAAGUGUUGUUCGCGUGUGCCUUUGCGGAGGCUGCGAUUUUGGAACGUGGCUUUCCCUGUUAGAUAUUCUUCCUUGUUUUUUUUUUUCACACAAUCAUAGAGGUCAUUGAGACAAAAUGCGGUGUCAAGGAAUCAUAACUCUUCCUUAUCUAUUUUUGUAAUUAUCUCCCUUUAUUACAGUAUACAAAAUAAGGCUAGUCCGGAGUAUUACUUGAAAAGUGUAAAUGGUAUUUUAUUAAAAUUUCACAAAAUGAUAGAGGCCAUUGACAGAAAGUGCAGUGCCAAAGAACGAUAAUCUACCUUACCCAGUUUAUUAAUUAUCUCCCUUAAUUAUACAAAAUAAGGUUUAUUCGGAGCAUUAUUUAAAUGUAUUUAUAGCAUUACAUUGAAACUUCACAAAAUGAAAGAGGUUUGUUUUUGGUUUCUAAUACUUUUUCCCCAUAUUGCGACAAGCACUUGCAUCAGCGAACACCAUUCGAUUAAACCGAUCCCUGGUUAUUUUAGAAAUGAUUUGUCAGGGCCGAACGCAGAAGCUCAUGGUUCAAAAUGUUCGUUAGGAAUAAGGACUUCUAACCUUUAUUAUAUUGAAUAUCAUGUAGCUUGUGCGAUUAUUUUUUGUAAAUAAAGGAAAUAUUCAAUGUG